UAGUGAUCCAUUUACCAUGUGUUCAUAGAUCAAAAGCCUUUGUUUUUUUUUUUCAGCACAAAUCCAAUGAGUUUUACCAGGUUGACAUGGUGAAUGCCACAGACUAUCUUUACUUCUGUUAGGAAUGACUGUUAUCACAUGACCUAGACCAUCUAGACUCUUUACAGCUAUUUUAAUGCCAUUACUCAUUGUUCCUUCAUAUAGAGCAUCAAAAUCCUCCUUCCCCCAGCUUUCUGCUGAAAUCUUCUGUUAUUAUUUUAAUUCAUUGUAAGUGAACCAAGUUAGCAUUCCAGGUAAGAUUGGUUCGAGAUCCAAACAAAUCUCCCGACUUUCUGGAAUCGCGUGUCCUCUUUUUGAAAAGAACAAAGCAAGCAGUGAUACUUACAAUUAUCCCAAAGAAAGCGGCAAGAGUAGAUCCUAUUAUCACCAUGUGAGAUCUUGAUUUUUUUUUUUUUUUCUCCAGAAAUGAUUGGAGACUUUUUCUGCGCUUUUGAGGAAUUCUGCACCUUAAGAAAUACUCUCUUGUCCGUUCUUUCCUCAUCUAUGAGAGAAAAGACCUCAUUCAUUAAUAAGCAGCUCCCACUUCUAGCCUCAUCCGAGUCAUCUCUGAAAACCACAGCUUUACAGUGUCUCAGGCAGGUCAUUUUGCAAUCUUCCAGCUUUUUCCCCUCAAACCGUAAUUUGGAUGAAGCUAUUUCAUGAUCCAAUUAAAAUGCUAAAUAUGUGGUUUGUAUUCCUUGAGUUAAAGUUAGGACUUGAGUAGUUUGUUGGAUUAUAGUGAUGAGGUGAGAUGAUUUCUGGAUAAGAUGUAGAGUACAGCAACCCGUAGCUUAAGUUAGCACCUUUUUUCCUCGAGUAAGGCUUCGACAUAGAAGUAUAUUACAGUGGAAUCGAAUUCAUGUGGGUAGAUGUGUAUGGGAAGAAUUGUAAGUUGGGAGCGAUGAGGCAUGUAAUUUAUUAUUUGGGGCGUAGACAAAUAGUGUCUCCAAGUUUAAGUCUUUUCAUUGUAUCUUGUAAGAUGGAGAAUGUUAAUAUUCUUAUGUCCCGCGAGAAUCUCAUCUCAUUUAUUGUACCAAUCUUAAUUAGGCCGAGGAUUAUUAUAAGAGAAGAAAAAAUCAUUUCUUACAAUGUUUUGAUCAUGUGCUAUAAAACACAUGCCAAGAUCAUGUCGACAUCAAGUUUCACUAUCACAUGUUUCGUGCUUACACGUUUCCCUAUGGGUUAUCAUAAAUCUCGUUGACUGACUUUGCAUAUUUUGUUGAGGAAAAAUGGUCAAUGCGAUGUUACGUUCCCAUUAUUUGGGGACGAAUGAUCCCAAGGGGGAUAAUGUAACACCCUGUACUUUCGGGCUUCAAUUUAGACCAUCGUUCCUAUGCGUAUAGACCCGAACUAAAUUAUUCCUUGUUAAUGUAUGUGUUUUGAUCAUUCCUAUAGCGUUGGAAAACCUUUGAAUAUGAAUUGAGAUCGCAAGAAUCCCCUAACUCGAAGACGAGUUGAAAACAAUUCUAUCGAUUAAAUUUUAGUGGACACUUCAACUUGGGUCAAAUUUCGUCGACCAUAUCUUCUGUUAUUUAACGAACUGGGUGGAUUGCUAUAUAUCAAAUGAAAGGUAUUUGAGUUCUCUUUCCAACACAACUCAUUUCAUCCAAAUCCAACAUCGAGGUAAAAAGUUAUGCCCAGUUUAUUUCAGCAUAUCAGCCUGUCAACUAAGGGACUGUUGCAACCUUUUUUGUUUCCUUAGGGGUAUUUUUGUCUUUUACCUCAUCUCACCUCAGCCACAAUAAAAUCAGUAUUUGUGCAAACUACAUCACAAACUAAUCAAUUCCUCUCAAAAAUCCAACCCUAAUCCUUUUCCCAAAGAUUAAGAACUCAUCCCUAAGAUCAAGAAUUCCAAGAAAAGGAUCAAGAUCCGGGUUUCAUCUUUCAAACUAAAUUAUCUAAGAUCUUUUGAAAGGGCCCAUGUAUUUUAAACUAUUGCAUGGUUCGGGAUGCUCGUCGCGCCAGGGCCCAGCUCGGGAUGCUCGUCGCGCCAGGGCCCAGCUCGGGUCGUGACACUUCAAAGAUUUGUAUUUGUUCUCAAGGAAUCGUGGGAUUAUUCAACAGAGCAAUAUUGGUUCCCAAAAUUGGAUUUCCUAACUAAAGUAGAUUUCCUCAGAGUAGAAUUUGAAAGUUCAAACAAAAAUUACAGUGGGCCCUCUUUACUAAAAAAUUGGUCGUGGGAUUUUCACUUUCCAUCGAAUUUGAAAUAAUUGAAGUUGUUUAACUUUCCUCCUGCAUCCGAUUCACUAUCAACAAUAGCGAGACUGCCCAACCUUGAACAGUUGUUCCUUAUGAGAACAAUCUUCCAAGGGAGGAAUGGAGAGGAAUCAUUUUCCGUGCUUGAGAAAUUAACACUGUGGGAAUGUUGUAAACUUACAGAGAUUCCACCUAAUUUGGGGGAUAUUGGUUCAUCUAAAAUUAUCCAACUUGUAGAGAGCCCUCAACUAAAAGAUUCAGCUCUGGAGAUUAAACAAUAUGUUGAAGAUAUCACCGGAGAAGAUAGGCUUCAGAUCCUUGGCUUGGAUAAUAUCCCGUUAUCUAAGACAGAUCUUGAGAACUAGAAAGGAAGGGAAGGGUAGAAUGAAGAAAAUGAAGUAGAAAUAAAGGAGGAGGAAACAAACAACUCAUCGAACCCUUCCCUGCUCCCCCCAGCUCCUCCGCCAUUCUCAGUUCACCUCCUAGUCUGUGUGCUGCUGCUAUGCCUAGCGAUGCGAGUUUGCUGCUACCAGACUCCAGAGACUUCAACUGUAAGUCUCUCUUUGAAACAUAAAUGGAGUUGCCGACUCUCUGCUAUAUGGGAAAGAAGGAAGUGAAACAGAAGAAUACUAUCAUCACGAACUCUUCACAUUUGAAGGCAAGAUGAAGUGGAAUCAACCAUCGAUAAGAACUUGGAGUUGCUGUACAACAUUUGUCCUCAUGUGCCUAUUAAUAUAUCAAUGCUGGAUAUGCCAUCUCAAACUUUAGACAAAAUUGAAUGAGUCCAGCAUAAUUCUUUCCUGAAGGUGGAACCUUUAAGCUCAUAAAGUUUGGUAGACAAGCACAUACUACAUGGAGGGAGAUUUCAACAAGUCUAUCUCCUAGAGAACCCUGAUGCAUAAGUUAUCCAAGAGGAAUCCACUAUCUGUUUUAUGUCAAGCAAACUCCCAAUAUAACAGUAAAAGCAAGAUGUGCCAGUGUAUUGAUGCUUAAGAUAUUUGAUAUUGCUCCAACAGCCAUUUCUGCGAGGCUAGUUGUCAAAGAUGCAACUUCCACAAGAUUCGACAGAUUGUGACGAUGACCAUGUGCAACUCAAGGUGAUAGAUUAUAUUGAAGAUGCCAAAUGCAUCCUUGACUGAGCGAGGCCUUAUAGCAGUCUUAGCUGGCUGCCCUAAGCUCCACUUGGUUCUAUACUUCUGCCGCCAAUUGGAAGAUGCCGCCUUGGAUACUAUUGCAAUGAUCCAUCCUAACUUGAUCCGAUUUCCUUUGUGUUCAGUCAAGCCUCAAACUCCUGAAUACCUAACCCUUGGACCGCUCGAUACUGGUUUUGGGGCCAUUGUCCAUCACUGCAAGGGAUCGUGGCGACUUUCCUUUUCUGGCAUCCUUGCAGAUUGGGUGUUUUAUUACAUCGCGGCCCAUGCUAAGAAGCUAGAGAUUCUCUCCAUAGCUUUUGUGCGGAAUAGCGAUCUAGGCUUCCACUAGGUGCUCUCUGUUUGUGAAAUUCCUUUGUAUGCUGGAGAUCAGAGUUGCCCCUUCGGCGACAAGGAUCUGUUGGUCAAUGCUGCAAUGCUGGACACGAUGUGGUGUCUUUGGAUGUCUUUUUGUUCAGUACUUUAUGGCGCAUGUAGUGACAAGGCUCAGAAAUUGCCAAGGAUUAAUUUUGAAGUUAUCAUCGGAGGUGUCAUCUUGAUACGACGAGACCAAAAGUUUCCCUGGUCGAGAAACACUACAUAUACAUGACAGUGGAAGGACGGAGGUUCGGCAUGCCUGAUUCUGUUUUGAACAUUGAUGGAGAUUCAGCAGCAUCGACAUCAUACAGUAGUAGUCGACAAAACAUGAGUGCUGAAGGUUAUGGAGAAAGCUUUACAAGCUCAUACGCAAUCAAUUUCACCAUUAACCGAGCUAUUUCAGAGCGCUUAGUAAUCACAAAUAGAGAAUUUUGAACUGUGUUUAUUCUGUAUCAUCAAAAUAAAUGCUACUAUUAUGUUGUGGGGUGGUUAAUAUGAGCAUGUUCAACUUGCUCUUUUAUGAAAAUGGUGUUGUUAAUAAUUAGUAUGUUCUGCAUGGCUUAACAUUAGUUAUAACUCUUCCUGAA